rnacentral:rRNA from 1 species
UACAGAGGUCCCAAGCGUUGUUCGGAUUCACUGGGCGUAAAGGGUGCGUAGGCGGUCGGGUAAGUCUGAUGUGAAAUCUCCAAGCCUAACUUGGAAACUGCAUUGGAUACUAUCCGGCUCGAGGAAUGGAGGGGAGACUGGAAUACUUGGUGUAGCAGUGAAAUGCGUAGAUAUUAAGUGGAACACCAGUGGCGAAGGCGAGUCUCUGGACAUUUCCUGACGCUGAGGCACGAAAGCCAGGGGAGCAAACGGG